AAUUUGCGUUAGGGAUAGAAACGAUAUCCUUUUAUUUUUUUCUUUAAAAAUAUAAAAGAUAUACGGAUAGCCCGUUCGCCG
rnacentral:sRNA from 1 species